UCCUUGGCGGUCCAGUGGUUAAAACUCUGCACUUUUACUGCAGGGGACCCAGGUUCGAUCCCUGGUUGGGGAA